rnacentral:lncRNA from 1 species
GCUUAUAAAACCCUUCUUGGUUGGGGCUUGGAUUCGGUCGACGAUGCACGUUUCUUUCGGUAAUCCUUAAACUCUUCGCACCCAGCGGUGGGGGCAGCUGUUUCAUUCGGUGUUUCGGCAAUGCUUGACGGGCAUAACAUGCUUGUUGGGGGUUGUAGUUCGCUGAUUGGAAUUGUUGCUCAUUGUACGUGGUGGUGCAUGAGUCGUAUCACGAUCGUUCGGGUAGGCAGGCUCCGUGCUCGCGCAUCGAAUUGCUUCCCCGCGAUCCUUUCAGUCCUAGCCCAAGUGAAUGUUUUGUAAGUGGGCAAAUGUCGGGUUCCUGUGUUGCAUACCCACACUAGUGGAAUUCAAUGAUGUUGCUGUCCCAUAUUUCGCCUUUGUGCCUCCUUUGGGGCAUCGGGUGAACAUUGUAG